UACGGAGGGUGCAAGCGUUAUCCGGAUUCACUGGGUUUAAAGGGUGCGUAGGUGGGAAUGUAAGUCAGUGGUGAAAUCUCCGCGCUUAACAUGGAAACUGCCAUUGAUACUAUGUUUCUUGAAUUUUCUGGAGGUAAGCGGAAUAUGUCAUGUAGCGGUGAAAUGCUUAGAUAUGACAUAGAACACCAAUUGCGAAGGCAGCUUGCUACAGGGAUAUUGACACUGAGGCACGAAAGCGUGGGGAUCAAACAGG
rnacentral:rRNA from 1 species